rnacentral:rRNA from 1 species
UACGUAGGUGGCAAGCGUUGUCCGGAAUUACUGGGCGUAAAGGGCGUGUAGGUGGUCAAACAAGUCAGGUGUGAAACCCUUGGGCUCAACCCGAGGCAUGCAUUUGAAACUGUAUGACUUGAGGGCAAGAGAGGAAAGUGGAAUUCCCAGUGUAGCGGUGAAAUGCGUAGAUAUUGGGAGGAACACCAGUGGCGAAGGCGACUUUCUGGUCUGUAACUGACGCUGAGGCGCGAAAGCUAGGGGAGCAAACAGG